rnacentral:pre_miRNA from 1 species
CAAAUACUCCCUCCGUCCGGAAAUACUUUUCAUCGAAAUGGAUAAAAGGAAAUGUAUCUAGACAUAUUUUAGUUUUAGAUACAUCUCUUUUAUCCAUUUUAAUGACAAGUAUUUUUGGACGGAGGGAGUAGAAA